CAAAAGUUUGGUCCUGGCUUUAAUAUCAGCUUUAACCCAAUUUACACAUGCAAGCCUCCGCAGCCCCGUGAGAAUGCCCUCAAUCCCCCGUCCGGGGACGAGGAGCCGGUAUCAGGCACAUAAAUUUAGCCCAAGACGCCUUGCUUAGCCACACCCCCAAGGGAAUUCAGCAGUGAUAAACAUUAAAACAUAAGUGAAAACUUGACUUAGUCAGGGUUAAGAGGGCCGGUAAAACUCGUGCCAGCCACCGCGGUUAUACGAGAGACCCUAGUUGAUAUAUUCGGCGUAAAGAGUGGUUAUGGAGAACAAGCACUAAAGCCAAAGAGCCCUCAGGCCGUUAUACGCACCCGGGGCCUCGAACCACUAUCACGAAAGUAGCUUUACCCUAGCCCACCAGAACCCACGAGAGCUGGGACACAAACUGGGAUUAGAUACCCCACUAUGCCCCGCCGUAAACUUAGAUAUAUUAGUACAACAAAUAUCCGCCCGGGAACUACGAGCGCCAGCUUAAAACCCAAAGGACUUGGCGGUGCUUCAGACCCCC
rnacentral:rRNA from 1 species